rnacentral:rRNA from 1 species
CAGUCGAGCGAGCUUGCCUAGAUGAUUUUAGUGCUUGCACUAAAUGAAACUAGAUACAAGCGAGCGGCGGACGGGUGAGUAACACGUGGGUAACCUGCCCAAGAGACUGGGAUAACACCUGGAAACAGAUGCUAAUACCGGAUAACAACACUAGACGCAUGUCUAGAGUUUGAAAGAUGGUUCUGCUAUCACUCUUGGAUGGACCUGCGGUGCAUUAGCUAGUUGGUAAGGUAACGGCUUACCAAGGCAAUGAUGCAUAGCCGAGUUGAGAGACUGAUCGGCCACAUUGGGACUGAGACACGGCCCAAACUCCUACGGGAGGCAGCAGUAGGGAAUCUUCCACAAUGGACGAAAGUCUGAUGGAGCAACGCCGCGUGAGUGAAGAAGGGUUUCGGCUCGUAAAGCUCUGUUGGUAGUGAAGAAAGAUAGAGGUAGUAACUGGCCUUUAUUUGACGGUAAUUACUUAGAAAGUCACGGCUAACUACGUGCCAGCAGCCGCGGUAAUACGUAGGUGGCAAGCGUUGUCCGGAUUUAUUGGGCGUAAAGCGAGUGCAGGCGGUUCAAUAAGUCUGAUGUGAAAGCCUUCGGCUCAACCGGAGAAUUGCAUCAGAAACUGUUGAACUUGAGUGCAGAAGAGGAGAGUGGAACUCCAUGUGUAGCGGUGGAAUGCGUAGAUACAUGGAAGAACACCAGUGGCGAAGGCGGCUCUCUGGUCUGCAACUGACGCUGAGGCUCGAAAGCAUGGGUAGCGAACAGGAUUGGAUACCCUGGUAGUCCAUGCCGUAAACGAUGAGUGCUAAGUGUU